rnacentral:lncRNA from 1 species
GUACAUCCUCUUUAAUUUCUUAUUCUUCCUCAAUUCACAUAACACUUAUCGCAAUCAUGUCUCAGAACCAAUGAAAAUGACAUGUUGACAUAAAUAAUGAGGAGAUGACCAUUUUCAUAAUAAUGCACAAUUCACGACAAUACAAUCGUGAUAUAACAUCAACAAUGAGUCAAUAAGCCUUUCAAACCAUUAUCAACACAUCACACACCAACAAUUAAUCAUAUUGCCUUUUUUUACUCAUUUUUCAUCAUUAGAAUUAUUCAAUAUGGAAAAUUUAACCCGUCAUCAAAUCCCAUUACACCCAACACAUACCACAAGGAAAUACACGAUCCUAUAUAUUUAACAAGGGUUUAGAAAUUCACUCGCUCAAAUAAUCGAACAAUCACUCUAAGACUUGAGCCUUCCCUUUUCGUUGAGUUUUCAAAUCAAUGCAAUCUAUUCAAGUAGAUAUUCAAAAUAAUAGUUUGAAACUAACAACACCCAUAUUACUGUAUGUUUAGCCUAGAUCCAAAAGUUCACCCAAAUCUAUAAUCAAGUUCCUAAGUUUCAAGCUUAGGGUUAAAUCUUUAUCCCUCCAAUAGACAUAACUCUAAUAGUAAUUCACAUAAUAAAAUACACCUAAUAUUUAAUUACAUAUAUCAAUAUAUUAACAUUUAAAUCAUAAUAUGAUAACUAUAAGAAUAAAAAUUCAAAAUCAUAGCAAAGUUACGCCAACAAUAACUUCCAGAGAUGAAAACAAUUUGCAGGACUCAAGAAAUACACCAAUUUCCCAUCCUAACCUACCAUCUCCAUUCAUUAGCUCAACAAUAUACUAUCCUUAACUCUUAAUCACUGUGUCCUCCACUAUGCCAUAAUUAUCCACAACACUUGUCCCCUAAAUCCUUAAGCUAAUGUUCCAAUCAAAGAAUAAAUUAAUAAUUUGUUAAAGUACUAACCUGGAGAACUAUUCCAAUGGUAGCUAAGGUAAAGAAUAAUAACAACAAAUCCUUAACAAGUAAUAAUUAUCACAUUAAAGCCACCAAACCGACCAACACAUGCGGCAGCCGCAUAUGGCUUCAAAAUUCUUAAUUUUUAAAUUUCUCAUCUUCACUUUAUUAAUAUAAUAAUUAUUAUUAUUGAGUUUCUAUCUAAUUAUAAAGAAAUUACUACAUAGAUAUACCAACACAUAUACAAAGAUGAGAAUUUUAAUUAAAACCUUACCUGAACAAUCUUUGUUAAUUGCUUUAUUCUUUUCCGUUUUAGUUUUGAUAGUGGGACGCCGCACGAACUCGUGCAAACUGCAAAGAGUGAAAGGGAAUGAAAUUUUUUUAUUAAUCCCUAUUUUACUCUAAUUGAUUUUAUUAUUUUACGAAAAUUUCAAAAAACGACUUUCCGGAUCAUUACAUUAUCUACCACAAAAAAUCACGUUCGUCCUCGAACAUAAGGUGAAAGAAAGUACCUGAAGCUUCAAAAAGCUAAGGAUAUGUAGCACGCAUGUCGGACUGCGUCUCCCAGGUCGCCUCUCCAACUGAACGGUUCUUCCACUGCACCUUUACUAAAGCAAUCUCUUUGGUUCUAAGCUUUCGAACCUGCCUAUCUAAUAUAACUAUAGGCUCCUCCUCGAAUGUCAAGUCUGGACCUAACUCCUCUAAAUCGAGUGAAAGUACAUGAGAUUCAUCCGGAAUAUACAUUCGAACAUGGAGACAUGAAAAACAGGAUGAACUGCCGACAAACUAGGUGGCAAGGCUAAUUUAUAUGGCACCUCUCCCACUCGACUCAAAAUCUCAAAAGGUCCAAUGAAUGUAGGGCUAAGUUUUUCCUUCUUCCCGAACCUCAUCACACCCUUCAUGGGCGAUACUCGAAGCCAAACAUGAUCACCCGUCAUAAACUAUAAGGCUCUAACUCUUUGGUUUGCAUAACUCUUCUGUCGACUCUGGGCUGUCAACAAAUUACACUGAAUUAUACGAACUUGCUCCAUAGCAUCUCUAAGCAAGUCUGUAUCCAAAGAGUCCAUCUCCGCCAAAUCAAACCAAUCAAUCGGAGAUCUACACUGUCUGCCAUACAACACCUCAAGUGGGGCCAUCUGAAUACUGGAGUGAUAACUAUUAUUGUAGGCAAACUCUGUUAAGGGCAAAUGUCGAUCCCAUCUAGCACCAAAAUCGAUCACACAAGCUCGAACCAAGUCUUUCAACACCUGAAUCUCCGCUCCGAUUGACCAUUUGUCUUAAGGUGAAAAGUUGUACUCAUAUCUAACUGAGUACCCAAAACAUGUUGUAAUGCUUUCUAAAAAUGGGAAGAAAAUAAUGAACCUCUAUAAGAUAUAAUAGAAAUUUGAACCCCAUGUAGUCGCACAAUCUGACUGAUAUACAGCUCGGCUAACUUCUCCGUCAUAUACUUUACCCAUACCCGAAUAAGGUGGGCAAACUUGGUCAGCCUGUCAACAAUAACCCAAAUGGAUUCAUAACCACCCAUUGUGGUAGGAAAACCCACAACAAAGUCUGUAGUGAUCCGCUCCCACUUCCAAGUAGGAAUAGGCAUCCUCUGAGAUAUAACCCCCGGGCCGUUGGUGCUCACACUUGACCUGUUGGCAAGUCAAACACCUAGAAACAAAGUCUACAAUAUCCCUCUUCAUGCCACACCACCAAUAAUGCUGACUCAGAUCAUGAUACAUCUUCCUUGCUCCCGGAUGGAUGAAUAUCGAGAACAAUGGGCCUCCUCAAGAAUCAAUAUAAUCAACUCGCCCGUCUUGGGCACACAAAUCCUGUCCCCGAUCCUCAAGACACCAUCAGAAUCAAGGACAUCCUCCUUGGUUUCCCCUCUCAAUACUUUGUCUCGAAUGAGACAUAACUUCUCAUCAUCAAAUUUGUGCUCAGGGAUCUUCUCGACUAAAGAAGAUCAAACAUCAAUAAAAACAAUCAUACCAUCACUAUCCUCUGAAAGCUGCAACUGGACAAGACUAUUAGCUAACAUUUGAACAUCUCUAGCGAAAGUCUCUCCUCAAUACUAAGUGGAGCAAGACUCCCCAUGCUAGGAGUCUUCCUACCCAAAGUAUCAGCCACCAUAUUGGCCUUCCCCGGAUGGUAUAGAAUGGUCACAUCAUAGUCCUUCAGCAACUCAAGCCAUCUCCGCUGCCUCAAGUUAAGAUCCCUCUGACUGAAGAUUUAAUGAAGACUCCGAUGAUUAGUGAAGAUCUCACAAUUCACCCCAUACAAAUAAUGGUGUCAUACCUUAAGUACAAAGACCACAACCACCAACUCCAAAUCAUGAGUAGGGUAGUUCUUCUCGUGGGACUUCAAAUGCCUAAAAGCAUAAGCAAUCACUUUCCCUUUCUGCAUCAAUACACCACCUAAUCUGACUCAUGAAGGAUCAGAAUACAUAGUAAAUUCUACACCUUCCUCAAGUAAAGUCAAUACAAGAACCUAAGUUAACAAAAGUAUUGAGCUUUUGAAAACUCUCCUCACACUCAUUGGACCACUAAAAACCCAUACCCUUUCGAGUCAAUCUGGUCAAUGGAGCUGCAAUAGCGGAGAAACUCUGAACAAAUCAUUAGUAAUAUCCUGCCAAUCCCACAAAACUCUGAAUCUCUGUAGGAGAAGUAGGUCGCUUCCAGCCUCUAACGGCCUCAAUCUUGGCCGGAUCAACUCUAAUCCCCUCCUUGGACACCACAUGUCCCAAGAAUGCCAUAUAAUUAAGUCAAAACUCGCACUUUGAGAACUUGGCAUACAAUUUCUCUUCCCUCAACCUCUGAAGUACAAUCGUCAAGUGUUGAACGUGGUCCUCCUCAGUCCUGGAGUAAACCAAAAUAUCAUCAAUGAAGACAAUCACAAAAGAAUCAAGGUAUGGUCGAAACACCCCGUUCAUCAACUCCAUGAAUGUUGCAGGGGCGUUAGUCAACCUAAAGGACAUCACUAGAAACUCGUAAUGCCCAUACCGAAUCUUAAAAGUUGUCUUAGGGAUAUCCGAUGCCCUAAUCUUCAAGUGAUGAUACCAAGACCUCAAAUUAAUCUUAGAGAACAACGAUGCUCCCUAUAGCUGAUCAAAUAAGUCAGCAAUACGCGAAAGAGGAUACUUAUUCUUCACUGUUACCUUGUUCAACUGUCUGUAAUCAAUGUGCAUCCUCAUAGUCCAAUCUUUCCUCUUUACAAACUACACAGGGGCACCCCAAUGUGACACACUAGGGCGAAUAAACCCCUUACUCAACAUAUCCUGCAACUGAUCCUUCAACUCUGUUGGCGCCAUGCGGUAAGGAGGAAUACAGAUGGGCUUAGUUCCCGACUCCAAAUCAAUAGCAAAAUCAAUAUCCCUAUUGAGAGGAACACCUAGAAGAUCAUAAGGGAAUACAUCAAGAAACUCCUGAACCACGGGAAAACAAUCCAUAAGAGGUGGUUCAAUACUAGUGUCCCGAAUGAAGGCUAAGUAAGAAAAACACCCUCUUUCCACCAAUCUCUGAGCACGGAUGAAGGAGAUAACCUAGGAUAAGAACCACUAGCACCCUUCCACUCAACCCUCGCAACACCAGGCAUCGCUAAGGUCACAGUCUUAGCAUUACAAUCAAGAAUAGCAUGAUAAGGAGAAAGCCAAUUCAUACCCAAGAUAACAUCAAAGUCUACCAUCCCUAAGAUGAUUAAGUCUACCCAAGUGUCAUACCCCGCCAAACAAACAAGAAAGGAUUGAUACACUCGAUCCACCACUAAGGGCUUACCAACGGGUGUAGAAACACGAAUAGAUACAUACAUGCUAUCACAUAUCAUAUCAAAUUCAGCAGCAAAAUAGGUAGAUACAUAAGAGAAUGUAGACCCCGAAUCAAAUAAUACAGGUGCAGAUCGAUGACAUACUAGGAUGAUACCUCUAAUAACAGCACCAGAAGUCUCCGCCUCGGGUCUCCCCGGGAAAGUAUAACACUGGCCCUCUCUGCCACCUCCAACCUGGGUGGUACAUGUACCCCACUAGAUUGAGCUGUAGUACCACUACCAGAAGCUAUACUGCCUCUACCUGACUGAACUCUGCCUCGACCUCUACUCUCUAGUAUCGGUAGUAUAGUCUGAAAAGAAGAAUUAGGUUGGGGUCCUCCACAACCCCUCUGGGAAUUACGUUGACGCAUCAGGUGAUCGGGAUCUUCGCAACUAAAUCAAAACCUCAGACUCGGGAAUUGUUGUGCGGAUCCUAAAAACCCGCUAUAAUUGUCUCUCAUUGUAGGUCGCUAAUGUGAACCGUACGAGUCCUGACCUCCGCUAUAAGAACCCUGAAGUACCUGACCACCCUUAGAUGACGGCAUAGAUGCAUGAAUAGGUCCUCGAUGCGAAAAGGAACCACCCCCUCUGUGUGAUCCCUUGCCUCCAGAUAAGGCACCAUGAAACUAACCUGAUGUACGGGGCCCUCUUAGGGUCCCCAAACUCCUCUCUCUCUCUCCGUCAAUUCCACCUCUUUGGCGGCACUCACAAUGGACUGGAAGGAAGUCCCCUCUCAAGAUGCCCUAAACACAGUCGAUCUGAUAGAGAUAGUCAGCCCCUUCGCAAAUCUAUAGAUCCUCUCCUAGUCUGGAAUAAUGGCCAAAGAAUGCCUAGACAACUGGAAAUAACAGGCCUCACACUCUGUAACAGAUAAGCUGCAUGUCUCAGAUUCUCAAACCUCAAACGACUCUCCUCUCUCACGCUCCAAGGGAUGAAGUAGUCAUUAAAGGCACUGGAAAAUAUCUCCCAAGUUACUCUCGGAAAUCCAACUGACAAAGACCCUGAAUAAGUUCUCCACCAUUCUCUCGCUGGCCCAUGAAGUUGGAGGGUAGCAUACAAAACCCCAUGUGACUCAGCUAACCCAAAAACCUCUAGCAACUCUCAGCAUGUAUUUAGAAACGCAUGAGCGUCCUCACUCUUCCCACCCUGAAAUUGAGGUGGGUCCAUCUUCUAAAAUUUCUCAUACAUGUGUUGCUCAUCCUCCGUCAGAAAAACCAACGGUGCAACUUGACCCCCAACUGCCGGGGUAAGAUCAUUCCCAAUCACGGGAUCUACUCGUGGCUGCCCCACUAGAUCCUGAAUAACUGGAGCUUGCUAUUGUUCUUGGGUCUGAGCCCCCACUCUGGUCUGAGAGCCUACGGUGUUCCGAUCGCACCACCACCCUGAGAAAAACUUUCGAGCACAUUCAAAACCAUAAGUAAGGUAUCCUGAAGAAAAGUUGUGGAUGCGGGCUCUUGAGGAACUUGGUCCUCUCUGUCAUUAAUCUGAGGCUCUGGAGAUACCUCUCUAGCAUGGCCCCUCACUCGUGCUGCUCCACGGGCACGACCUCUAGCUCGAGCUCUACCUCUACCCCUAGUUGGGGCCUCAACAACUGUCUCGGGAACUGCCUCCCCUUUACCACCAGUAACAGUAGUUUUAGUCCUCGUCAUCUGUCAAAAGAACAUACGAUAGCUCAGUACUAAAGAAGGUAACCACGUAUGAUGAGAAAGAAUAAACAAAGAGAAAGUUUGCUAAUCGUCUUCAUAGCCUCUCAGAGAUAAGUACAUAUGUCUCUGUAUACGAUCCUCGAGACUCUACGUUGGUUCACCUUGUAUACACGUGAGACCUAUGAACCUGGGGCUCUGAUACCAUUUUGUGACAACCCAAAAAUGGAUGUGAUGGCACUCGUCUUAUCACACCAAGACAAGUCAACUUAAAACCCAACUAUUUCGAUAAAGUGCGAAAAUAAACUAAAAACAAAAGUUUAAUAACAAUUACAAAUGCGGAUAAUAAAUCAACUUAGCUAAAUUCCCAAAACUUGGUUUUCACGUGCACAAGCCUCUAAUGUUAUACAAUGGAAUUGAAAUAAUACGUAAGUCUCAAAUGACGUUGUCUCUCAAGUAGAACAAAAUCAUGAUUAGGAGUAAGAAGGUCCACUGAGAUGAUAAACAGCUACGUCACAAAUCUCCACAGGAAGCCUCACAAAGAAGAGAAUAGAAAGUAUCACGAAGAUCUGAGCUCGUAACCUACAAAAAUUUAGAAGCAAGAGGUGAGUACCAAACCACAUGGCACUCAGCGAGUAAACUUCUAAACACAAGCUAAGGGAAUAGAAUAUUGGUACUCCUUACCACAAUUUCAACCUGCAUAAAACUAGCCUAACCUAACAGUUCACAAUUUUUAUAGCACACAACUCAAUUACAACAUUCCAAAAAUUACAGAUCAACAACACACAAGAUCAAGUUCAUCAAUCACAAAUUUCAUUUAAAGGAACUCACAAGUUAACAAAUAAUAUAGAUAUGUAAUGCAAUGAAAUAGAAUGUCAAGUAUAGUAAUGCAUGUCUUACCUAACGAUACACACCUGCUGUCUCUCGGUCCGGGACCCAUGGGGGACAUAUCUUUCCAUGCAUACAUCGUAGCGCGCAACACGAUCCUCGAUAAUAAAAUCUGUCGUGGCAUGUGAUACGUCCCUCGACAAUAGUAUCUGGCGCGGCGCGCGACACUUCCCUCAAAAUGGUACAUCCUCUUUAAUUUCUUAUUCUUCCUCAAUUCACAUAACUCUUAUCACAACCAUGUUUCAAAACCAAUGCAAAUGACAUGUUCACAAAAUUAGUGAGGAGAUGAAAAUUUUCAUAAUAAUGAGAAUUCACAACAACACAAUCGUGAUACAACAUCAACAAUGAGUCAAUAUGCCUUUCAAACCAUUCUUAACACAUCAUACAUCAACAAUUAAUCACACUGCCUUUUUAUUACUCAUUUUUUAUCAUUAGAAUUAUUCAAUAUGGACAAGUCAAUCCAUCACCAAGUCCCAUUACUCCCCAACACAUACCACAAGGAAAUACACUAUUCUAUACACUUGACAAGGAUUUAGAAAUUCAUUUACCUCAAAUAAUCGAACAAUCACUCCGAGACUUGAGUCCUCCCUCGUUGAGCUUCCAAAUCAAUGCAAUCUAUUCAAGUACAUAUUCACAAUAAGUUUUCGAAACUAACAACACUCAUAUUACUAUAGGUUUAGCCUAGACCCAAAAGUUCACCCAAAUC